AUCCUCCAACCCACAACCCUCGGGCUUGGCUGCCUGGGCAGGUGCAGAACAGUAUCUUGCUAUGCGGAGGUGGCAGCUGAGGGGAAGGCCCAGAAGAUUAAUGUUUAUCUCCUCCCUUAAGUCUCUUACUGGCUAAUGGUUACAGUCCUACAACAGCAACAGCACUAAAAAUAAGGGUGCUCUGGCUUUACCAGUGACUCAGAGUGGGAAGAGGAGACACAGAUUCACACUCCCAGCUCCUCGAAGGAGCCGCACAGGGUCCAGAGGGUCCAUGUUGUCACUUAGAUUGACCCAAACUGCAAGGAACCGAGCCCUGCGUGGUGGGGGAGGCCUGUAUCUUCUCUGAACCCUGGGCUGCGCCUUGGUACAUGUUUGGAUCCUCAGCUAUGGAGUCCCGUCAUUAACACAUCAGUUUUGGAGUCUAACAGGAGUCUAACAGCCCUGGAUUGAGUUCCAGCACUGCCACUUCAGGCUCCAGCAGGACAGGGUCUCUGCCUCCUUUGUUCACCACUGUAUGUAUACUCAGCUCUAGACCCUCAGUAAAUAUUUGUGGAAUGGACUCCUUGGGACCCUGACAGAGGGCAGCUAGCCGAAUGAUUCCAAAAGAUGUUGCUGCUUCCUUGUUUCUCUGGCCCUGUACUCUGAAUUCUUUAAUUCCCUGAGUCAGACCACCUUACCUCCAUGCUGUUAUCUACAAGGCGUCAGAACAUGUGAAAGAGGUCGUCACUUUGGGGACUGACUUUGGGAGGCCCUUUGUUAUCUCUUCAGUAUCUCCAACCUGACUGUCUUUCAGUUCCUGAGAUGCACUGAGUACUUUUCUGCCUCAUGUCAAUUCCCCUGCCUGGAAAGUCCUUUUCCCCUUUAUGACAGGCUACCUCAUAUUCACCUUUAGGAUUCAGCUUAAAUGUCACCUCCUCACUCACUCUUCCACCCCUUCCUAGGCUAUGUCCCGCCACUGUGUGUUCUUACAGUACACCCUAUUCCUCCUUAAAGUAUUUACAAACAUAUUGAUGUAAUUUAUAUUUACACUGGACUCCCAUCAUUAAUACAGUUAUAACUUAUGCAAACCCAACUAUGUACACUCAGCUAAAAGAGCAAGAAACAAAGAAAUUCCUUAUUUGGAGUCCCAUUCCACCAUUAAAGCCAGAUCUUGACAUCUACUCUCAUACCCAAGGUACAAAGAGAAAUAGAUGUUAUUUCUUGGCUUUUGUGCUUCUAAAUGGUAACAAGGGAUUUUCAAGAAUCAUUUUGUAAUCUUUGCCUCAUGAACUGAUUUUGGAACCUACUACCAAUCCCACAAAUACACCCAAAUGCGGAAAAUGGGAAUCGACCGUGUGCUUUGUCUCUCCUUCUGGAUUGAAGACAUCAUUGUUGGAUCCUCAGGGUCUAGCAAAGUGCUGGGCACAUAGUAAAUACUCAAUAAACCUUUAUUAAAUGGAUGAUGAUAGAUGAUGGCUGAUGGAUGGAUGAUGGAGGAGGGAUGAUGCGAGCUGUGCAAACCGGCACUGUGCAGGAUGCACCUAGAGAUAGGCUGGUACUUAAUGUGCAUUAGCUACCUACCAGGCUUGGGGGAGAAGGAUGAAGGAAAUGAGGUGGCUGAACUACUGCAAUCAAACUGUCUCCCUAAAGGCCUGCACUUCCACCAGUCUCUCAGGAUUUGUUACAUCUCACAUUCUACUUUCUUCCAAAGCAAGAUCUCUGGAUUAGAGCCUGAUGCUAGGCAGUGUGGCCGCCUCUGAGUCACUGCACAGCACAGCUGUAUCCCUGAGGGCUCAGACAGAGAACACUGUCCACCUGGAUUCCUAGCCCAAACCAAAACUCCACCCGAGCCCCUACCAUGCCUUUGUUUAUGACUCCUUCCCUAUCUGACUCCAAAACUUUGUUUUGACCCCAACGCCAACCCUGAUCUUGAUCACAGUUGUUCUUACAGCCCUGGUGCCAUUCCCAACCUUGAUUCCCACCUUGACCCUAAC